UACAGAGGUCUCGAGCGUUAGGCGGAAUCACUGGGCUUAAAGCGCGUGUAGGCGGCUCGGUAAGUCUGCUGUGAAAGUCCAGGGCUCAACCCUGGGAUGCCGGUGGAUACUGUCGAGCUCGAGUCCGGAAGAGGCGAGUGGAAUUCCUGGUGUAGCGGUGAAAUGCGCAGAUAUCAGGAGGAACACCAAUGGCGAAGGCAGCUCGCUGGGACGUGACUGACGCUGAGACGCGAAAGCGUGGGGAGCAAACAGG
rnacentral:rRNA from 1 species